ensembl:lncRNA
CGGCCCCCGAGCGGCAGCCGGCGCUGCCCAAGGCCGGCGGCCCCGGCCUUGGCGGCGGGGGGAAGGCGGCGCGGCAGCAGGCGCUGCACCAGCCGCCGGCGCUCCAGAGGACCUGGGAGAAGCUGCGCCUGGAAGAGCGGGAGGCGGAGAAGGAGGCGAGGAAAGUCAGUAAGAGCAUCGACCGGGCGCUCAAGGAGCAGAAGCGGGAGUACAAGCAGACGCACCGCCUGCUGCUGCUCGGAGAAAUCUUUGUCGCCAAGAGAAGGAGCACAGGGAGGAUUGCCACAUCACAAUCCUGCCAACUGGCCUGAAGUUAGGACCUUUCCUCAGCCAAACUGUGUGUAUAAUUUAAUUUCCUGUUACUAUAAUCCAUAGAUGUGUGAUCAUUUUUCUUACAGUGUAUUCUCCAACCUGUUCUAACCAGUGUGUUGUCUGUGUUGCAACACAAGCAGAAUGACCCUCAACACUGUCCUGGGGGGCACCAGGCACAGCAUCACUGACAGGGCACAGGGAGGGAUUGACCCCCUCUGCUCUGUGCUGGGGCAGCCUCACCACGAGUCCUGUGGGCAGGGCUGGGUGCCACAGUGUGAGUAGGAUGGAGAACUGUGGGAGAACAUCCAGAAGUGUGACACAAAGAUGAUGACAGACCUGGAGAGGAAGCCAUGGUCUGUUUAGCCUGGAGGAGAGGAGACAGAGGGGAGACCUCAUUGCAGUCUAAAACUUCUUUAAGAGGGGAAGAGAAGGGGCAGACACUGAUCUCUCUUCUCUGUGGUGACCAGUGACAGGGCCAGAGAAAAUUGCAUGAAACUGUGUCAGAGGAACUUUAGGUGGGAUAUUAGGAAAAGAUCUUUACCCAGAGGAUGACUGGCGACUGGAAAAGGCUCCCUGGUCACAGCAUCAAACUUUUCAGUAUUUGAGAACUAUUUGGACAAUAUGCUCAGGCAAAUGAUGUGAUUCUUAGGGUGUCCUAUGCGGGGCCAGGAGCUGGUGUUUGAUGCUCCCUGUAGGUCCUUCAGGGUAGCCUAUGAUAUUAUGAUUGUUGGCUCCAAAAUUAUGAUUGUUGGCUCUAAAAAGAAAGUGCUUUUUAACAAAUUCUUCUCUCACUUCUACCCAUGAAUGAAACAUCUUGAUGUUGGGGCUUUCUUUCUCAUUUGUGUUUUCCCACUGUAGAUGUUUUGAACAGAUGGCUUCAGUUUUAUGAAAUGUGUGGCAGUGCCUUCAAUUAAACUCUGUGAACUAAUAUUGUGUGUUUAUAUUUGGCAAAUUGUUUACUGUGCUACUUUUAUCUGUACAAGGCAAUGUGUUUCCUUACUUGAGGAAGUUUUGCCUGCAUCUGAAACUUAAGAUGACUUUUUGCAUUACUAUGACUGGCAUGCACUUUUUUCCUAGAUUUCACUUGGUGUGUCUCUAUGAAUCUCAGUUGUUUGUGUUAGUGCCUAAAAGUUUCAAAUAAGGAUCUUAACUUUCAUUAUAGGAAUAUGCAUAACAAAAUUGAUGGUUAUACCUGCUUUUGUAUGUGGCUACUAUAGCAGAAUCCUUUAAAUGUUCCCUUUUUUUUUUUUUUUUUUUUUUUAAUGUAUGUUGGGAGAUAUUCAUCUUAGGCAAAGAGUUGGAAUCUGUAUGGGCUGGCCCAUUAAGUGUGAGCUUUGUCUUCUAAAUUUGUUUUAUUAGAAACAUUUUGCUAUGGUGUGGAAUUGUUUUGCACCUUUUACUUAGAAAUUCACUAAAUAUGGCUUAUAA